rnacentral:rRNA from 1 species
UACCCGCAGCACAAGUGGUGGUCAUUAUUAUUGGGCCUAAAGCGUCCGUAGCUGGCCUGUUAGAUACCUGGGUAAAUCGAUGCGCUCAACGUAUCGAACUCCGGGUAGACCGGCAGGCUUGGGACCGGGAGAGAUGUGAGCUACUCGAGGGGUAGGGGUAAAAUCCUGUAAUCCUUCGGGGAGGACCAGUGGCGAAGGCGUCACAUUAGAACGGCUCCGACAGUGAGGGACGAAGCCCUGGGGCGCAAACCGG